AGAGUUUGAUCAUGGCUCAGAAUGAACGCUGGCGGCGUGCUUAACACAUGCAAGUCGUACGAGAACGCUUCAGCUUGCUGAAAGUAAAGUGGCGUACGGGUGAGUAACGCGUGGGUAAUCUACCUCCGAAUUGGGGAUAACGUUGCGAAAGCGACGCUAAUACCGGAUAAUAUCCUUUUGACUUUGGUCAUGGGGAUCAAAGGUGGCCUCUUCAUGAAAGCUACUGUUUGGAGAUGAGCCCGCGUCCCAUUAGCUUGUUGGCGGGGUAACGGCCCACCAAGGCAACGAUGGGUAGCUGGUCUGAGAGGAUGAUCAGCCACACUGGAACUGGAACACGGUCCAGACUCCUACGGGAGGCAGCAGUGAGGAAUUUUGCGCAAUGGGGGAAACCCUGACGCAGCAACGCCGCGUGAGUGAUGAAGGCUUUCGGGUCGUAAAGCUCUGUCAAGUGGGAAGAACCGCCGUGGGGUUAAUAUCCUUAUGGCCUGACGGUACCACUGAAGGAAGCACCGGCUAACUCCGUGCCAGCAGCCGCGGUAAUACGGGGGGUGCAAGCGUUAUUCGGAUUUACUGGGCGUAAAGCGCGCGUAGGCGGCCGUUUAAGUCAGAUGUGAAAGCCCGGGGCUCAACCCUGGAAGUGCAUUUGAUACUAUUCGGCUUGAGUAUGGGAGAGGGAAGUGGAAUUCCUGGUGUAGAGGUGAAAUUCGUAGAUAUCAGGAGGAACACCGGUGGCGAAGGCGACUUCCUGGACCAAUACUGACGCUGAGGCGCGAAGGCGUGGGGAGCAAACAGGAUUAGAUACCCUAGUAGUCC
rnacentral:rRNA from 1 species